GCUCCCAUGACGUAGACGGGUCACCUGUACUCGCCUUGCACGCGGGAGACCCGGGUUCGAUUCCCGGCGGGGUCA
rnacentral:tRNA from 1 species